AGUGAACGCUGGCGGUAGGCCUAACACAUGCAAGUCGAACGGCAGCACAGUAAGAGCUUGCUCUUACGGGUGGCGAGUGGCGGACGGGUGAGGAAUACAUCGGAAUCUACUUUUUCGUGGGGGAUAACGUAGGGAAACUUACGCUAAUACCGCAUACGACCUACGGGUGAAAGCAGGGGAUCUUCGGCCCUUGCGCGAUUGAAUGAGCCGAUGUCGGAUUAGCUAGUUGGCGGGGUAAAGGCCCACCAAGGCGACGAUCCGUAGCUGGUCUGAGAGGAUGACCAGCCACACUGGGACUGAGACACGGCCCAGACUCCUACGGGAGGCAGCAGUGGGGAAUGUUGGACAAAGGGCGAAAGCCUGAUCCAGCAAUGCCGCGUGUGUGAAGAAGGCCUUCGGGUUGUAAAGCACUUUUGUCCGGAAAGAAAACCUUGGCCUUAAUACGGUCCGGGGAUGACGGUACCGGAAGAAUAAGCACCGGCUAACUACGUG
rnacentral:rRNA from 1 species